rnacentral:rRNA from 1 species
GUGUCAGCAGCCGCGGUAACACGUAUGGGGCGAGCGUUGUUCGGAGUUAUUGGGCGUAAAGGGCGUGUAGGCGGCUCUCGCAAGCUUGGUGUUAAAGGUUUCGGCUUAACCGGAACAGUGCGCUGAGAACUGCGGAGCUGGAGUCUAGGAGGGGGAGCUGGAAUUCCAGGUGUAGGGGUGAAAUCUGUAGAUAUCUGGAAGAACACCGGUGGCGAAGGCGAGCUCCUGGCCAUAGACUGACGCUGAGGCGCGAAAGCGUGGGGAGCAAACAGGAUUAGAUACCCUCGUAGUCC